rnacentral:rRNA from 1 species
GACGAACGCCGGCGGCGUGCUUAACACAUGCAAGUCGAGCGGUAAGGCCUUUCGGGGUACACGAGCGGCGAACGGGUGAGUAACGCGUGGGUGAUCUGCCCUGCACUUCGGGAUAAGCCUGGGAAACUGGGUCUAAUACCGGAUAUGACCUCCUAUCGCAUGGUGGGUGGUGGAAAGAUUUAUCGGUGCAGGAUGGGCCCGCGGCCUAUCAGCUUGUUGGUGGGGUAAUGGCCUACCAAGGCGACGACGGGUAGCCGACCUGAGAGGGUGACCGGCCACACUGGGACUGAGACACGGCCCAGACUCCUACGGGAGGCAGCAGUGGGGAAUAUUGCACAAUGGGCGAAAGCCUGAUGCAGCGACGCCGCGUGAGGGAUGACGGCCUUCGGGUUGUAAACCUCUUUCAGCAGGGACGAAGCGCAAGUGACGGUACCUGCAGAAGAAGCACCGGCUAACUACGUG